rnacentral:rRNA from 1 species
CCCUUAGAUGUCCUGGGCUGCACGCGCGCUACACUGGAAGUUACGGAUUGAGAUACUACCUUGUCCGAAAUGGUCCGGGUAAUCACCUAAAAGCUUGUCAUAAUUGGAAUGGAUUAUUGUAACUAGUAAUCCUGAACGAGGAAUUCCUAGUAAGUCCCAGUCAACAGCUGGUACUGAUUACGUCCCUGCCCUUUGUACACACCGCCCGUCGCUACUACUGAUUGGACGUUUAAGCAAGAUUUUUAAACACUGACAGUGUGUAGUUCACGCUAUACUACAGUGAGAAGAAGAAGAUCGAGCUUACUUAUCUAGAGGAAGUAAAAGUCGUAACA